rnacentral:rRNA from 1 species
CCAUACUACCUUGAGAAUGCCAGAUCUUGUCUGAUCCAAGUAGCUAAGCAUGUUUGGACCUGGUUAGUACUUGGAUGGGAUCCCGCUCGGAAUACCACUGUAG